rnacentral:lncRNA from 1 species
GGGCACAGGGCGUGGUGGCUAGGCAGCAGGCAGAAGCCGUACCAUGCCUGCCCUUGUGUCUUAGCUUGUUCAUCGCCGGGACCAAAGGACCUGGCGAGAACAGUUAGAGGAGGAGAAGUUACUUGGCACUCACCAUCUCGGAGGUUCGGCCGCGGCUGGCUACUGGAAGGGGGGCCGACCAUCACGGUGGAAGGGCGUGGGCGGGAAAGCAGCUCAGGACAGGCCAUCAGGAAGCAGAGAGCUCUGCCCACUAGGGACAAAAUAUAAACCCAAAGGCCCAACCCCAGGGACCUGUCUCCACCCGCAGAGUCACCACCGGUCAGCCCACGUCAGGGGACCCACGCACUGAUUAGGACAAGGCUCUCCUAACCCUAAACUUCACCUCUAAACGUCCUUCACAGUCUCACCCAUGAGCUUCUGGGCGGCACCUCAGGCCACAGCAGCUUGGCACUGCCUUUCAGGACACAGGAGUGGACAGAGGAGCGCUGCAGGAUGUCCUAUGAGUUGCUUAGCAUCUCGCUUUUGCUAAGGCUGGCCUUGAACUCACGAUCCUCCUGCCUCAGCCUCCUGAGGAUUCCAGGUGUGCGACACAACGCCCAGCUACCCAGGUUUCUUGAGUGGACAUUUUUCUUGGGGCAAAAAUGUGUUUCUCAUUUAUUUAGUUAUUAUUAUUUAUUUUAAUGAAACAGUCUUUGCCACAGUCCCCCCUGGUCCCUGCCACUCCCUCACUAAAGCUGCUGUCGGUCACCAUUUACCCUUGUGCUGGAACUUUUUGAUUUUUCUGUCGUCAGAAGAGCAAAGGGAGAGAUUGUUGGCUGAAACUGUGUAUCUGGCAAAAGCAAUUAAACACAAAUUAGCCAGAAAUGGCCUUGUGUGUUAAGAAAAACGAGGAAGAGGCUGUUUUUUCCGUGGAAUCUGAGAAUAUUCCCUGUGUCUGGCCUGCAGACACCGUGUGCCUACGUGAAACCACCCUGUGUGCCCCGUGACCUGCUCGUCCCUUUACAUUCAAGUCUCAGGUGUUAGAUUAGAAGUCCGUGGGUGGACCACAGGGUGCAGUCUGUCUCAGGGAUGUAGUUCUGUAUUAAUUUAUGCUUCAGAUUUUCAGAAAACCUGCUGUGUUCUGGGUUCUGGGCAAGCCAGUGGCACACAAUGGUGCCGUCCCCAAGACUGGCAUCGUGGUCUGGGAGAUGCGUGGACAGUAAAGAUGGAAGGGAAGGCGGUGGCCGUGCUGUACACGUGGGUUCCACGUCUGCAGGUUUAGCCACCUGGGGAUCAAAAAUGUCGGGGGAAAAUGUGCAAAAAGUAGAAUAAUAAAAAUGAUGCAGAUAUUCAAAGACCUAGUACAGGCUGGGGAUGUGGCUCGGCGGUAGGUGCUUGCCGAGCGCACACAGACCUGGGUUCAUCCCCAGCGAAACUAAAGCGGCAAAAGAGGCAAACGGCAUCACAGUGAGUUACAUAGCAAUGAAUUUGCAUUUGAGCAACAUGAAUCAUCAGAGAUGACCCAGAAUACACAGGAGGGAGGGGAUUGAACUCAGUCCCUUCACACAUGCUGGACAAGUGCUUUCCCACUGAGGUGCAUCCCCAGCCCUUUUUAAAAUUAUUAUUAAUAUUUUUUCUUUAGUUGUAGAUGAACACAAUGACUUGACUUUAUUUAUUUAUUUAUUUAUUUAUUUACUUAUAUGUGGUGCUGAGGAUCGAACCCAGGGCCUCACACGUGCGAGGCAGGCGCUCUGCCACUGAGCCCCAGCCCUCCCCAGCCCUUUUUAAAAAUUAUAUUGUGAGACAGCAUCUUGCGAAGUUACCCAGGCUGAUCUUGAACUUGAGAUCCUCCUGCCUCAGCCUCCCCAAUCGCUGGGGUUACAGGCUUGAGCCACUGCAUGUCUACAGGAGGAUGUGCCUAGGAUCUGUGCAGAGCUACACCCUUCUAUGCAACAACCUGAGCAUCCUCAGGUUUUGGUAUCUGAAGGGGUCCUGGAACCAAUUCCCUCACAGAUACUGAGGAAGGGCUGUGACAAAAUGGUGACAGAGGCCCCACGGGAGGUACCUAAGGGCUGCGGUGGAGGCCUAGUGUCUAGAGGAUGGCAAACACUGUUCACUGUACAUAGCUGUACAUAGCCUGUACAUAGCUGUGGGGGAUAGACACCCAGAGGGUUGCGUGGUGGACCUCAGGUGGGGCAGUGGGAAGCGGGCAGGGCCCAGCCAGGCCGGGGGCCUUGGGGAGGAGUGUGGAUUCUGCUCCUGGGUCAUGGAUCAAAGCCCUGAGCUGGGUGUGAGCAGGUGCAGGCCGGGGUCAGGGCCUGGGACUUCUGGCUGUAGGACCGAGACCAACCCCAAGGCUGGAGUGGCUGCCAGGAGACCAGAGCUGGCUGCUGAGGCCCCAGGUACAGGAGGACAGUGCCCACCAGGCCCCUGGCUCAGAGACUUCUGGGGCAUGAGAAACCAAGGCCACAGUGGGCGCUUGGAGAGAGCCCACCCCCUUGAAAGGGAGUUCCCGGCUGGGAUCCACACAACCAGCAGUGAGCUGUCCUUAGCCCCCUGACAGGGCCUUCCCCAAGAUACCUUCUUCCUGGCUGGCGACCCUCAGCCCCAAGGCAGGAGCAUUAGAAAGAAACAGCUUCCCAAAGAUUGGAAACAGCCCUAUGCCCAUGAGCAUGGCUGGUCCCCAGUGGACACAGUGGACACCUUGCUGCCCCGAGACGCUGCCCACCUCGGUGUGUGCAUGUGCGACCACCUUCUGGAAAUCCAAGCAGAAGGCAGAGAUUCCACAAUCGAUGCAUCUGUAAAGCGGAGACUCCGUGAAGCCUGUCGCUGGGGGCGGGUCCAGCCGGGUUGAGGGCCCUGGGCAGGUCCUGGUUCCUAAACUUUGUGGACAUUGUCAUGUUUGGAGAAUCUUCACAAGAAGUUCUGAUGCGUUGGAGCUGGGUCGUGGCUCAGUGGUGGAGCACUUGCCUGGCAGGGUGAGGCACUGGGUUCGAUUCUUAGCCCCACAUCUAAAUAAAUAAAUAAAAUGAAGGUCCAUCAAUGACUAAAAAAAAUAUUAAAAAAAAAGUACUGAUGCGUGGCUCCCGGCCCCACGUUCUGGUCUAACUGGUGAGGGGCACUGGGCAAUGGGAUCUGAAAAGCUCCCCAGGAGGGCAUUAGCCUGGGAGUGACCCAGUCUGCCUGUUUGGGACAUCACUGUGACUGCUGCGUGGAGCUGGUGUGGACAGGUGCCCCCAGGGCCCCAGCUGGGGAUCUGGACUUCUCCACAGUCCCCUGGUGAUUCUGAUAGUCGUCCUGCUUAAGGCCACCUGCCUGCUCUGGCCUGGACCUGACUGGGGUCACAGGCUUGUUGGUGGCAGUGGGACCGGAGCCAGAGUCCAGGAGUACCCCCGCCCAGCCUCAGGCCCCACUGUCCUGCUUGCCCUGGGUCCUCAGUGCCUGGUGCCGAUGGGGGAGGAAAAGUCUCAUGGGUGUGUGGACACCGUGCUCAGCCCAGGCCCUGGACGGCCAAGAGGUGGGAGCACAGGGGCUGGGGCCUGUGCGGGGGCCUCUGUGCGCCUCCAUCUCCUGGAUAUCCGGUGGUUGGAGGAUGGGCCAGGAGUCCACAGAAGAUGUCAAGGGGUGGGGCUGCCGUGAGCCGUCUGGGGACGUUCAUCACAGUGGUAGCCAUUGCACAGGUGUUUGCUGAGCAGGUCCAGCUGCAGACACCAUGCCAGGCGCUGGGAGGAGAGCACCAGGCCUGUCCCCAGGGCCCCCAGGGGCUCGUGGCGAGGGUGAUGCCACUCACCCAUGUGGCCCGUGGUUCUGCACCGUCUCUGGAAGCAGGUGACCCCAGGCCUCCCUCGGGGCUGGAGGUUAGGAAUUUUCCACUCUCCAGGAUGCCCUGGUGCAGGCUCGGGGUCUUGUGUCCCCUCUGCACCUGUGUACCUCAGGCCAGCUGUGGACGUCACAGUCGUGCAAAACACAGCUACUGCCUGCGCAGUCCAAAUGGGCCUCGGUUCCUGGAUUGAGUCACUGGACCUGAAUUUAUUCCUUGGCUGUGGCUGUGGGGAAAUUUUGCUUUGUGGUUCAUUUAAAGUAAAUUGGAAUCAAUUGUUUUUAGCAAUUAAGUUUUGUUUAAGAAUUUUAAAAAGUACACAUACGUUACCAGUCCAAGAGCCCGUGACUGUGGCGGUUGAGCGGGCCGUCCGCUCCUGCCUGCAGAGGCCUGCCCUCAUCCUCAGGUCCCUUCCGGGCGGCUGCUCAGGUCCUUCCCCACCCCCACCGUCCUCUGCCCACUCCUACAUUGUCUGCCCUGUGGGUCCUUCUCACUUAAUGUGGCUUGGAGAGCUCUCCAUACAAGUGCCCAGAGAACUGCCCAAUUUUUGUUAUGUUUUUUCAGUGCUGGGGACCAAACCCAGGGCCUUCCCCUUACCAGGUAAAUGAUCCACUUCUAGGUACGUCCCUGGUCCUCUGCCUGAUUUUUUUUUUUAAGAAAACUAGACAGAUUUGUGUCUGUGUGACUUAUUAUUUAGGUGACCGUUCUUCCACUGACAGUCACUUAGGUUCUGCGGAGCCUUUUGCUGUGAACACCUGAAACCCGUCACUGUGCAUUUGUGCAAAAUCAGGAUAAACCCCUGGGAGGAGGGGACCGUCUAAGGGUAUGAGCAUUUUUUAAAAAUAUCUUUAUUCUAUUUACUUAUUUAUAUGUGGUGCUGAGGAUCGACCCACGGCCUUGCACGCCCUAGGCAAGCACUCUACGCUGAGCACCAGUCAUUGUUGCCAAAUUACCUUCUUGGAAGUCGGGGUCAGGAUGAAUGUGGAAGAGUGGCCGGUCCCCUCUGGACACUCAGACCUCAAGGCCGAGGGUCCUGAGGGACCAGGACGGGUGUCUCUUCCUUGAGGAGGGAUGAUUAUCUACCCUGCCAGGUCCUCCCUGGCUGGCAGUGCAGACCCGAGGCAGCCGGAGCUCUCUCUGUGCCCCCAGCCAGGGUCUUUCAACUCUCAUUUCACCCCUUUCAUCCUGGACCCAGAGGAGAGCUGCUUCUUCUGCCCAGGUUGAGUGGACACUGUGGCUUCUACGAAGAUUGUGGUGUGUGUUUAAAUAGCGCUACUAAGGUAUGACCCAGGCACAUAGGAGCCACUCAUUUAAAGUGACCAGUUCAAUGGCCUGGCCUGGUCACAGCCCCCAGCCAUUUCCUCCCCCCUCAGGGGAGACCCUGACCUCUCAGCUCUCAGACCCAGACCCCACCCAGCUCCUCUGUCCCUGCGGACCUGCCUCUUUGGACAUUUUACACAUUUGUGUCUUAAAGGCACAGCGUGACCCCAGGUCUGAAGGCGUGUUCAGCCCCCAACAGUCUUAUUGACCAUCACGGGUUUUUAAAAAUUCACCAGGUUAGUUUUAGAUGGCUGCCAAUCGGGAGCAUUGCACAAGUGUCUGGACCACAUUUGUCCUGAACAGGCGGGCCUGCAGCUCCCACUUGGCACUAGCUGGUGCCAGGCAGCCGCCUCUUUCCAUGGGGCAAAGGGUCUCUCUGUGCCCCAGCCCCCCACUCCCUCCCCCGAGGCUGAGCCUCGGCUGAGGUGUGGUUUGCUUGUGCUGCUGUCUUUCUUAAGACAAAGGUGGGACACAGAACUCCAGCCAUUGGUAGAGGCAUCCGUAGGCUGGCCUCUUCCUGACCCAACAGGUGACUGUCACCUGCCUGGCUUCUGUGUCCACGCAGGUUUGGAGACCCGGCUGGGUCCACGUUACAGACAUGGACGUGGGGCUUGCAGCUCAGGGGGAUGGCAAGCGACCCUGGGAAGCUGCUUGGUUGGCACCCUCCGGGUCCCUCCUGAGGGGGUCAGAGCAGUGUCCCCCACCCCCCGUUUUCAAAUGGGGAAACUGAGGCACAGGGAUGGUCAAAGAUGGAGUGGAGACCACACAGCACAGAAGGUGCCGUCAGGACGACAGCUCUGGGCUGCGGUCCUCAGGCAGUGGCUCCUGUGGGUGCGUGUCCUCCUCCUCCUGCUGAUUUCCUCCCUCCCUCCCUCCGUCCUUUCUUUCCUGCAAAGAAUAUUCAUCGAGCAUCGAGCACCGUAUUGAUCCCCAACUGCGGGUAGCAAACGACUCAACCCGCUCAGCUUAGCACAUGCCCGCGACUUGGAGGCGCCUGGGCGGGUGGCUGCUGCUGGCUGUGGCCGGCUGUGCUGUCUGCCCCUGCAGGUCCAGUGUGGCCUGGCCGUCGUCUGGCUGCUGGCGGUGUGCGUCUCAGUCUCCACGUGGCCUCCCAACCUCCGGGGCCUCUCGCCAGGGCCUCUGCAGCAGAUCGCCUGGACUGACUCCCAGCGCUGGCUUCCAGGAGGGCGAAUCAAGCUCAAGGCCGAGGCCCAGGCUGAGGCCCAGGCGUCACAGAGUGUCACUGUCUUGGUCUGUUUUGUGCCGCUGUGACAGAUCGCACUGGCGGGGUUACUUGUGAUGAACAGAAGGUUAUUUGGCUCACAGUUCUGGAGGCUGAAAGUCCAAGGUGGAGGGCCCGUGUUUGUGAGCAUCUUUCUGCUGCAUCCUCCCAACACGGUCGUGGGGGAUUAAGCUUCCAGCAUGGGGGGGCGCACAUUCCAGACAGAGCCACCUCCUCAUGGGCACAGUGGCAAAAGGGCAGGUGGCUGGGGUCCAUCUUUGGAAACCCCAGCUCUACCGUGGGCCAGGCCCUCUUCCGGGACCUGUAACAGAAAACUGAAUAAAAAAAGAUACCAAAACCCAAGAUGUCUAGACGUGUCAUCUGGUGGUGGGAGAGCCAGGGUCUCCCUAAGUUGGCCAGGCCGGACUGAAGCUUGGGGUCCUCCCGCCUCAGCCUCUUGAGCAGCUGGGAUUCCAGGGGAGCCCCCCGCACCCUGCAAACGUCAGGGUUUCAGAGUGCACAGUGGAGUGACGCUCAGUGUGCUCACUGGGAGGCUCAAAUGCUCCCACGGCUCGUUCCAGAACAUUCCCACAGCCUCAGAAAGGAAACCUCAUGGCCCUUAGCAAGGAUCCCCGCCCCUCCCCUGCCCCCACCAAAGGGAAGGGCACUAACGCACUCUGGCCUCUCGCCUGCCCUUCUGGGCGCGACAUACAAAUGCGAUCCGAAGCCUGUGGCCACCAUGGCUGGCUUCUGUCACUUGCAUGGCUGGCUUCUGUCACUUGCGUGUGCUCUCCGGACCCUCCCCACUGCAGCCUGGACCAACCCGUUCCUUUUUAUCAGGCAGAAGACUGUAAUAUGCAUCGACCACGCCUCAUUGGCCCGCGCCCCAGCUCAGGGACACCAGGUGACCCCCACUUCUUGACUAUUCUGGAGUCUGUGCGACUUCUUGCAGGAGCAUGUGUUUUCAAUUCUUCUGGGGAAGGAGCUUGGUCAUGGGGUAGCUGCCGCCUUCCUCCCGAGGAACUUCCAGGCUGGUUUCCAGAGCAACCGCACAGCGGCACCUUCCACCCGGCUGUGCCCUGCUCCACUUCCUCCCCACGCUCCUGG